GAAGCUGAACUCUGCUUCCCUUUUCCUUUGAACUUUUGGUUUAGCAUAUGGGAGAAUGGGAUCACUGUGCCCACCUUAUCCUGCUGGCUCUUCUGCCCUGAUUAACUACAGUCCUCUCGUGUAUCCACUCUCUAGGGUAUCAAACUAUCUAGUCUCUAGGGUAUCAAACUGCUUGCUUUUAAAGGUUUAGUGAUAGCAGCUGCCAGAUGGCCCAAGGUUUCCCAUUGUGAGCUUUAUGUCCUUGGGAGCAAAGAUGAAUGUGAUUGAAAAGGAAAGAACCUGCCUGGCACUACUAGCAGCGUAGAGGAGUGAGGCUGUGCUGUGUAUAUACACCCUGCCUCCCUCAGUUCUGUGAACUGCUGCUGCAGGAGGAACAGAAAGCAGAGAGCUGUGCUCUGACUUUGCAGGUGCACCGAAUACCAGACCAGUGAGACGCGAGUCUGGAACGGCAGCAGCGCCGCACAGAUGACUAGUAACCUUGAGGCACCAAGCCCUAGGAACAGAAGCCAGCCUCCCAGCUGCUCCCCCAAGUUUCCACAGCAAACCUGCACCUGCUUUAGCACCAGCAGAGGUAAGGGGGGAACAAGGAAGUACAGGGCGUUUUUCUCUCCUCCACCCCUCACCUCCAGCCUGUUUCUACUUCGGAUUGAAGACAGAAAUUCAACAUAGAUGCCAACAGUGGGUCUUUCUACACCAAGGACUAAAAGAGAAUUUGUAUGUUUCUCCCUUAACCACUGGAGGCUCUGUAACCACAGAUCUAACUAAGAGAAAUCCCUGACAAAGGGAAAGUAAUGAGGUGUGCAGAGGGAAAGGGAACGAAAGAGCUUUCUCUCUCUCUGUCUCUCAUUUGUUUAAUCAUAUCUAAACUUAGUUUUCUGAUACGUUCACGUGCUUAAAGUCCGCACAGAGAGAUACAGGGAAAAGUCCUCCUUGUAUUUCUGUACCCAUAUGCCCGGUUUCUGCUUCACCCGCUUUGGUAGCUACUCAUUAAUUUUCUGUUUAUCCUUACAGUCUCUUUAUGAAAAUACAAGCAAACUAUAUAUAUAGAUACAUAUUUAUGUUUUUUUCUUAUUUUUCACCCUUCUUUAAAACUUAGCAUACUAUAUACACAUUUCUGUACCUUGAUUUUUUUCCUAACAGUAUAUUUUAGAAAGCUUUCUAUAUCAGACAUGAAGAGUUUCCUUAUUCUUUUUUAUAGCUGCACGCAUCUUCCAAUAUAAUUUUUUCAGCC